UACAGAGGUCUCAAGCGUUGUUCGGAUUCAUUGGGCGUAAAGGGUGCGUAGGCGGCGUGGUAAGUCGGGUGUGAAAUCUCGGAGCUUAACUCCGAAACUGCAUUCGAUACUGCCGUGCUUGAGGACUGGAGGGGAGACUGGAAUUUACGGUGUAGCGGUGAAAUGCGUAGAUAUCGUAAGGAAGACCAGUGGCGAAGGCGGGUCUCUGGACAGUUCCUGACGCUGAGGCACGAAGGCCAGGGGAGCAAACGGG
rnacentral:rRNA from 1 species